GCCCAACUCAGAUAUUCGCAAAUUGUGUACUGUACACUGUGGGAGGAAUGUAAACAAAUCCAGUGCCCCCACAGCAGUUGAAGAGAAAGGAUUAAACACUGAUAAACAGAGUGAUGUUACAAUCAAAAACAAAAGAAACUAGUUAAUAUAUUAAGUUAGUGCGGAUAAAAAUUAGUUAUUUAAAUAUGAUUUUGGGAUUUCAGAUCAAUAUGGAAAAUUUAAUCAUGCUCAGUGAGAUUUGUUCAACUAUAAAGGAGAAGCAAGGAACAUAUGAGUGCGGACAAUUCAGCACAAAUAAAGUCCUCUAAACAGGCACUUAUAUAUGUAUGUGGAUUUAUUGCCAAAAAACUCAGCACAAAAGUUCCAGGCCUUGUCAGAGGCAGUGAGGAUAAAACAAACUGUGAUUGGAUAGACU
rnacentral:lncRNA from 1 species